AACGUAGGUGGCGAGCGUUAUCCGGAUUCAUUGGGCGUAAAGGGUGUGUAGGUGGCGCGCUAAGUCGGGUGUGAAAUUUCGGAGCUUAACUCCGAAACUGCAUUCGAUACUGCGGUGCUUGAGGACUGGAGAGGAGACUGGAAUUCAUGGUGUAGCAGUGAAAUGCGUAGAGAUCAUGAGGAAGACCAGUGGCGAAGGCGGGUCUCUGGACAGUUCCUGACACUGAGACACGAAGGCCAGGGGAGCAAACGGG
rnacentral:rRNA from 1 species